AAGUGGAGCAAUCCAUGAGUAAAGUGGCGACCGGGUGAGUAACACGUGACUAACCUACCUUCGAGUGGGGAAUAACCUCGGGAAACCGGGGCUAAUACCGCAUAACGUCUUCGGACCAAAGGAGUAAUUCGCUUGAAGAGGGGGUCGCGGCCGAUUAGCUAGUUGGUGGGGUAACGGCCCACCAAGGCAAUGAUCGGUAGCCGGCCUGAGAGGGCGCACGGCCACACUGGAACUGAAACACGGUCCAGACUCCUACGGGAGGCAGCAGUGGGGAAUUUUGCGCAAUGGGGGAAACCCUGACGCAGCAACGCCGCGUGGAGGAUGAAGCCCCUUGGG
rnacentral:rRNA from 1 species